AUAGCUUAGUGGUAGAGCACGUGCUUAGCAUGCAUGAGGUCCUGGGUUCAAUUGCCAGU
rnacentral:tRNA from 1 species